UAGAAGCUAAUUUUUAUGGGUCCUGCAUACUUAAUAUUUUUCCAUGAAGUUAAUAUUUUUCAGCAAUUGAAAUGGUAAAAAAGAAGUAUAAGCAUACAUUAAAAACACUCUUCACAUCCAGAUUUUAACGAAAGGCCAGUGAAGAGAAGCAAGACUGGUAAAUCAAAUGACCUAAUGUCUUCAAAAGGAGUUGAACAAUGGCAUCACUAGAUAAACAUAAUAGAACACUGAGUAGCAACAAGAAAACACAGAUACAAGGAAAACCCUAAAAAUCAAGGUUGAAUUGGUGUGGGGGAAUUUUUCCCUGUCAUAGCCAGUUUGUGAAUAACGUUGUCUAUUAAUCAUAUCAUAUCCCAAUGUUAAUGCUAAUAUAGCUGUAUCCAUAAUAAAUAUAACACCUUGCUUCUGCUUAAGUGAAACACCUUUGGUGGUUUGGUGGCAAAUAGUCAGAAGAUGGAAGAGGAAUGGAUGAGAUUUAGAAUGAAACUAGUGAACAAUAAAUUACAUAUUGAUGCUAAGGAUAAGCACUACCGCCAAUGCUUCAACAUAUUCAAAAGUGUUGCAACACUAUUCCAUCCUUCUCCAUUCUCUCAAGAAGUCAUGUUCAACGUCUCCCAUCUUUCCUCUCAUGGUCACAUCCCGAACAACAAGAAUGCUACGAAUAUAUUAAUUAAUAAAUGAGUGUUUAGUAAUCAAUUCACAAAAUCAUAACCUAAACAAACAGAGAAAGAAUCAAUCACCAUCAUUCAAGCAUUUUAUCAAACACUUAGUGAGCAUUUGAAACAUGAGAAAGUGAAAAUGUAAUAAUAGAAAACAAAGCAAAAUACAAAAACAAAAUAAUGCAAGAGUGUUAGUGAGAGAAAAUAAAAGGAAAUAAUAAAAUUACCUGCAUUGCUCUUUCUUCUGAUAGGUUUUAUAUAUACAGCUUCUUCUUGAGUUGGGGAGGAGGUGGUGGUGGCGGCGAAAGUGUAGGGUUGCAUUGGAAUACGUGAGGGGAAAGGAGGAACAAGACAAGAAGUUGGUAUUAAGAGAAAUUGGUGUGUUCGGUUCGGCUUCAGUUUUAUCUGAAGGUGGGCUUUUCUGUUGGGGUUGUGGCAGGCGUGAAGCUGAGGAGGGUGGGGAAUGAAUACGAGUAUUUCUCUAAGAUAUCUCUAGAGAGAUGAGAG
rnacentral:lncRNA from 1 species